rnacentral:pre_miRNA from 1 species
GUAUUACCAGGAGUUCCCUGCAAGCACUUUACGAAGAACCUUUCCAAGGGCUUAUGUGAAGUGUUUGGGAGAACUCUUGGUGUAAC